GACGAACGCUGGCGGCGUGCUUAACACAUGCAAGUCGAACGGAAAGGCCUCUUUCGGGGGGUACUCGAGUGGCGAACGGGUGAGUAACACGUGAGUAACCUGCCCUUGUCUUUGAGAUAGCUUCAUGCAACAGGGGCUAAUACAGGAUAGGAGCUCCUGCUGCAUGGUGGGGGUUGGAAAGUUUCGGGGGUUGGGGGUUGAUUCGCGGGUUAUCCGCUUGUUGAUGGGGUAGUGGCUUACCAAGGCUUUGACGUGUAGCCGGCCUGUGAAGGUGAGCGGCGGCAUUGAGACUGAGAUACGGCCCAGACUCCGACGGGAGGCAGCAGGGGGGAAGAUUGCACAAUGGGUGGAAGCCGGAUGCAGCAACGCCGCGUGCGGGAUGACGGCGUUAUGGGUGUAAAACGAAUGCGCUCAUGACGAAGCUUUGUGUGACGGUAGUGGGUAAAGAAGCACCGGCUAACUACGUG
rnacentral:rRNA from 1 species